rnacentral:pre_miRNA from 1 species
CGUUUAUGACGCCGUUGACUUUUUCUCACAUGUUUGACCAUUCGUCUUGUUCAAAAAAUUUUGUUAUGAGUUGUUUUAUCACUCAUAGUACUUUAAGUGUGAUUUAUAUCUUAUACAUUUACAUAAAAUUUUUGAAUAAGACGAAUGGUCAAACAUGUGAGAAAAAGUCAACAGUGUCAUCUAUU